ACGGAAGGCAGCAGUGGGGAAUUUUGCGCAAUGGGGGGAACCCUGACGCAGCAACGCCGCGUGCGGGAUGAAGGCCUUCGGGUUGUAAACCGCUUUCAGCAGGGACGAUUAUGACGGUACCUGCAGAAGAAGCUCCGGCUAACUACGUGCCAGCAGCCGCGGUAAUACGUAGGGAGCGAGCGUUAUCCGGAUUCAUUGGGCGUAAAGCGCGCGUAGGCGGCUUGCUAAGCGGAACCUCUAAUCCGAGGGCUAAACCCCCGGCCGGGUUCCGAACUGGCAGGCUCGAGUGCGGUAGGGGCAAGUGGAAUUCCAUGUGUAGCGGUGGAAUGCGCAGAUAUAUGGAAGAACACCGAUGGCGAAGGCAGCUUGCUGGGCCGACACUGACGCUGAGGUGCGAAAGCGUGGGGAGCGAACAGGAUUAGAUACCCUGGUA
rnacentral:rRNA from 1 species